rnacentral:lncRNA from 7 species
UUCUCAUUAGAAGAAACUACAGGCAAGAAGACUCCAGUAAAGACAAGGCACAUAGUCACAAAUAAAGGAAGACUUCAACAGUAACAGCAAAAUUAAAGGUGUGGCCCUCAUGGUGGCUCCUUUUUGGCUGGUGUCCUCACUAACAAAUCAGACUUCUCUUGGCUGUAAAAGCUCCUGGGGGCUUGCAUGAACACUUGGCUGUUUUGCACAUUUUAGGUCCAAAAUAAAGCCUGGAGUCUUUUGUGACAAAAUAAAUUCUGUUAUGAACUCAGUCUCAAAACAACCCUAAAUGAAAUGUUUUGGUUUGGCUGUCUGUCUGGAAGAUUUCUCUUGUCAAUAUUUUCUCUCAGCAGGGUAUUCUAAACUAAGCUGCUAUCUUCAUUUUGCUUUGUUCAACUCCAAGUAGAGCUGCAUCCAUAGUAAUAAGGUGGGAAGCGGUGAUGUGGAAAGCAAAAUGCACUCCUCUGAAAUACCAAGUUGGACCUGGUGUGCUAGAAGAAGGAUGCUGAUACUGCUAGCUGGAUAUCUAUGCUAAUAAAAAUGAUACUGUCAGAUUCAUCAGCUGUCUGUAGUUGAACCUGAUGGUUGCUGGCUGGCUCGGAUGAUUCAGAGGAUGCAAAAACCGCAAUUGACUAAAGAUACUUAAUUGUAAUGAGGGAAGUGUUACUUCGUUAUGUAGAAGAUGACAACAUCGCUUCAGAUCUGGAUGUAGACGGCCUUGGAGUUGUUGACAGUUGAAUCAAAAGACUAUCUGGCCUGGAGAAGCUGGAGGCUUGGUUUCCAGAAAGAAGAGUUGGUGCUGAGAGGUGGGUUCCAGGGAGAAAAUGAGGCCCAAAGAGAACAUGAAGAUCCUGACUGAAGGACAGGUCUGGGAAGUGAGGGAAGAUUCUGGAGGUGAGGUAAAUGCAUGGAGACCAAUGACAGGAGAUGCCCAGCACCAAAUAAUCGUGCCUGAGACCAGAAACUGCAAGCAGAAUCGUAGCAGAAUCCAGCAGGAGUUUCUGCCCAACCUGCUCUAGCCAACGACCUGCCUGCAGGGAAAUCAAGACCUUGGGAACAUCAUGGGGAAGCUGUAACAGCCGUAGAGAAUAAGCAUAGAAAAAAACAAACCCUGCUGAAGUUUUUGCAGAGGUGAUAUUCUUUGUUUUCCCAAGGAUUCUGGAUGAACCUUAAGGCGAGCUAUGAGAUGGAGAAGGAAGCAGAGAGGGGGAAGUGCUGCUGUUAAUUUGGCAUUCAUCUUAAGGAGCUGAAUGGCAGCCAGAAGUAGUGCAGAUGGCAUCUCAAUUCCCUCUUCUUUUGAAGAAAAUGUAUUUUUAAUACAGUAACUUUUUGUUUCCAUUAAGACAUUUUUAGCUGUGGAAUAAGGACAGUUAAAGGCAGUAGUUAAACCACCAGCUUUUAGAUGACAUUUCUGAAAGCAGUUUAUUUCCCAGAGUGAUAGAUGUAUGAAACAUAUGGUUUCUUCAAAGCCACAACCAAGGAGCUGGAUAGUAAGGAUGCAGGGGGUUAGUUGGCAGACACCCUAGGAAGGAAGCGAAAGGACACAGAACUGGUGAUAGUGUUGCUUUUGCAUAUGGGUAUGGUGGUGACAGGAGGAUUUGUCUGUAUUAAAUUGUAUUUUACACUGUUCUCAUCAAAUCCAAACUCUAAGCUUGUCCAGAUAAACUGCGUUCC